UAAACACAAACUAGCUAAUCGAGGUCUACAGGAUCACUAGAAAUCUCCAGGCAGCUGGAGGGAAAGACCUCAUGAAGACACACCCCUGCUGUAAACUACAUUGACAAGUUCAGUUGCUCUGGUGUGUGUCACAUGAAGCCACACCUUCCACUGGCCUUGCCUUCCCUACCCAGGACAAAUAUGUAAGAGGGGAAGAGCAGUAAACUGUAUGUUAUUCUCCUCUAACCUCUAUCACAUCCUGCGCACCUGAAAUACCAAGCAUAAACCAUGUCUUUCACUCCAAAAUCAUACAGUAAAACAGUUACAACUUCAAGCACUAGAUCCACUAAAGUGGAUGAUGG